UUUAGGUCCAUCAUAAGUUUACUCCCUCUUGCAUGUGCCACAUCAACAACCUGUGUUUUAUUCUCAAUACACAACUCCUUGCUUGUGUGAUUGCCUCCACCAGACAGAUCUUUGUCUCAGUCAUUCCCAUGUUGAUGAGUGCAUAUACACACAAACAUGCACACACUUACGGCGACAGAUGGGAUGAGGGUUUUGCCACGUCUGGUUCUCACGACAGAUAUUCUCACUAUUUCCAGUCAGCACAGAUCUGCAUGAGAAAGAAGAUGAGUCUCACCCAGCUGCACAUUGGUACCGGAUGGUGGAUCCCACGAUGGCACUGCCCUGCACAGAGAGCAGAUCAUCAUCAUCAGGCAAUGAACAGGACACCUCAGGGACCAGAACCGGCUCCGCUGCAAAACCUCCUCCCGGGGAGGCUG